rnacentral:rRNA from 1 species
UCCGUAGGUGAACCUGCGGAAGGAUCAUUAAUGAAUUGGAAUGUGGAGGUUGAUGCUGGUGCAUAUAUUAGUUUGUAUGUACAUGUGCUCACCUCUGCCCUCUUCAUCCACUUAACCCCUGUGCACUUUAUCAGAGUUACUAAUAGUAGUAAUUGUGGUGGCGGCCAUUUGUUAUAUUCAUUGUUAGAGAGGCAUGGUAAUCUACCUUUCACUUUUCUGGCAAUUGCAAUAAUAAGUGUCUUGGUUCUGCUAUUACUACUAUGGGCACUUUGACUUUAUUACAAACACAUUGCUUGUUCUUGUGAACGUGUAAUGCUCCUUGUGAGCAACAUACAAAUAUAUAAAUACAACUUUCAACAACGGAUCUCUUGGCUCUCGCAUCGAUGAAGAACGCAGCGAAAUGCGAUAAGUAAUGUGAAUUGCAGAAUUCAGUGAAUCAUCGAAUCUUUGAAYGCACCUUGCACCCCUUGGUAUUCUGAGGGGUAUGCCUGUUUGAGUGUYGUGUAAUUCUCAAUCCUUUUCUUAAUUGAAGAAAAAGGCUUGGACCUGGAGGGUAUAUGUAAGCUGGUACUCCUUGUAUUGGCUCCUCUUAAAUGCAUUAGCUGGAUUGUAGUUUGCAUUGUUUGGUGUAAUAGUCUUCUAUCUAUAUUCACUACAGUGCUUACUUAGACUGUCUGCUUCCAAUUGUCUGUGGACAGGUGCUCUGUUGCCUUUAAACCAUUUGACCUCAAAUCAGGUAGGACUACCCGCUGAACUUAAGCAUAUCAAUAAGCGGAGGAA